CGGAAUCAGCGCCCUGCGGAGGCAGCUGGGAAGCGUAGUCACAGGACUCUUGGCUGGGUCUCACAGUUUUCCUACAAUAAAGGGGAAAUCCAGAGGGAAAACUUCUCUAGAUAAAACUUUUGCAGAUGUCACUGAGAGUCUUGGGAUCUUUUUGAAGAAAGGAUGGUGAAGCUUGCCCCACACAUACCACCAAGGAUGUGCUACACAGGAAGAGUUGGAGUGAGGCUAUGGAAAAUACCCACCGGGAGAAGAGGGAGUCCAGCCACAUAGGGCUGGAACAGGGAGUGCCUACCUGAAUGAAGGAGGCCAAGGGACUGUGUCCAGACAGAGGGAGCAUCACCCUAUUGGUCUCCAGGGACCAGAAAUUUCCCCUACCUUUUCACUGGGUUCCUGAACGCCAUGGAGGUCAACCUGGACUCUUCACCAAACAGGGCCACACUUGGAUAGCAAAUUGACAUAGUCAUGUGCUCAAUUCGUCUGGAUCCACUCUCACUUCAUAUUCAAGGGUGGCAGUGUCUGAGCAAAGGAGGGCAAGUGUGGUCUUCAGCAAGGGCAAGAGGAUGGAGGUGCAGAGUCUCGACUCCCGGAGGGAGACUCCCUGCCCCUGCCUUCACUGUGGAAUUACCUUAGGGGCCACCCACCCUGUUCCUCCUCUGCAAAUUAAGGAGCUAGGGUCAAAAAUGAUAUACUUCUAUGCUACGAUGGUCAAUUACCAUCAUGUGUGCUACACAGACUAGUUACCCCUUUGCCCUCACAGUGGCAGCUUUCUGAUGCACAAGACAUCAGCCUCUGAGAACCAGAGACACUAGCAGGCUAAGCUGACCUGGGUUUGUAGGUACUGAACGCUCCCUGGAAAAAUGAAAACAUAGAGGCACUUUUCUCCUGGCUGUUUAUUACAGAACAGAAAAAAAAACACACCGGCUUGAAAUAGAUGCCAGAUUUUGAUGUAGAGGCAAAAUACGAGGUGGCAAUUAAAAUGUGGUUACACAAAAUCUGGACACUGAGAAAAGUUAACAGGACAGUGGGUGUAGAUUUUUUUUAUAACAGACACUCAAAUAUACAUGACAAUAAUUGCAAAUAGAAACCAUCAAAGACAAACUCCAAAUCAACUAUUAAUGUUUUUAGACUCUUCACCUCAAACCACAGAGCCUUACACCAAAACGAAUGCUGAAGGACUUGAAAGCAGACUUGAAAGCAGGACCGGCUCACCUUCACCCUGGGAUGGUGCCCUGAAGCUGCACGAAGUGGGGACUUUCUUUGAGGUCUGAAUGACAGAAGGAGGGGAAUGUUCUAGUGCCUCAAGGUGGACAGCUUGAACAGCGUUCAGCUUUCUCUGCACCUCUCCCAAAUCUAAAGGACAUCUAUCUUCCCUGCAGUAUCUCAGGGGGCACUUAACAAUAAAAUAGCUUCAGCUAUAGAUGCUUAUUAGGAAAGAACUAGCAGGAACAGAAAAGUCUACAAUGAGGUUAACAGUCACACCAGGCAAGUGACAGAAUUUUUAGUGAAAAUGGAAAUCAGUGACCAAGUGGUUUUCUAUUCAGCAUUUGUCAGUUUGUACAACACCCAUUGGUCACAUCCACAUCUCUCAUUGCAUCAGAACCACAGCAUCAAAACCAUAGCGACUCAGUCACCUGGCUUAACAAGGUGUCACUGGAGUGGACAACACUGUCUGCAUAUUUGUAUAAAAUGUAUAGUAAACACAAAACAAGGCAUAAUAAACACAUCU